AAUCAACGCUGGCGGCGUGCCUAACACAUGCAAGUCGAACGAGAAGGUGACUUCGGUCACUGGAUAGUGGCGUCCGGGUGAGUAACACGUAGGUAAUCUACCUUCGGGUGGGGAAUAACGUCUCGAAAGAGACGCUAAUACCGCAUAAUGCAGCGGCACCUAAUGGUGAUUAGUUGUUAAAGCGGGGGAGUCUUCGGACCUCGCGCCUGAAGAGGAGCCUGCGGCAGAUUAGCUAGUUGGUGAGGUAAUGGCUCACCAAGGCUUCGAUCUGUAGCUGGUCUGAGAGGACGGCCAGCCACACUGGCACUGACACACGGGCCAGACUCCUACGGGAGGCAGCAGUGGGGAAGUUUUGGGCAAUGGGCGAAAGCCUGACCCAGCAACGCCGCGUGAAGGAGGAAAUCCUUCGGGA
rnacentral:rRNA from 1 species